rnacentral:rRNA from 1 species
GACGAAUGCUGGCUGCGUGCUUAACACAUGCAAGUCGAACGGUGAAGGAGGGCUUGCCCUCCGGAUCAGUGGCGAACGGGUGAGUAACACGUGGGCAACCUGCCCCUCAUUCUGGGAUAACGCCGGGAAACCGGCGCUAAUACCGGAUACGACCAGGCGCGACAUCUCGCCUGGUGGAAAGAAUUUCGGUGAGGGAUGGGCCCGCGGCCUAUCAGCUAGUUGGUGGGGUAACGGCCCACCAAGGCGACGACGGGUAGCCGGCCUGAGAGGGCGACCGGCCAAACGGGGACUGGGACACGGCCCAGACUCCUACGGGAGGCAGCAGUGGGGAAUAUUGCGCAAUGGGCGAAAGCCUGACGCAGCGACGCAGCGUGAGGGACGAAGGCCUUCGGGUUGUAAACCUCUUUCAGCGGGGACGAAGCGAAAGUGACGGUACCCGCAGAAGAAGCACCGGCUAACUACGUGCCAGCCGCCGCCGUAAGAC